rnacentral:rRNA from 1 species
AGAGUUUGAUCAUGGCUCAGAUUGAACGCUGGCGGCAGGCCUAACACAUGCAAGUCGAACGGUAGCACAGAGAGCUUGCUCUCGGGUGACGAGUGGCGGACGGGUGAGUAAUGUCUGGGAAACUGCCUGAUGGAGGGGGAUAACUACUGGAAACGGUAGCUAAUACCGCAUAACGUCGCAAGACCAAAGAGGGGGACCUUCGGGCCUCUUGCCAUCAGAUGUGCCAGAUGGGAUUAGCUAGUAGGUGGGGUAACGGCUCACCUAGGCGACGAUCCCUAGCUGGUCUGAGAGGAUGACCAGCCACACUGGAACUGAGACACGGUCCAGACUCCUACGGGAGGCAGCAGUGGGGAAUAUUGCACAAUGGGCGCAAGCCUGAUGCAGCCAUGCCGCGUGUAUGAAGAAGGCCUUCGGGUUGUAAAGUACUUUCAGCGGGGAGGAAGGUGUUGUGGUUAAUAACCGCAGCAAUUGACGUUACCCGCAGAAGAAGCACCGGCUAACUCCGUGCCAGCAGCCGCGGUAAUACGGAGGGUGCAAGCGUUAAUCGGAAUUACUGGGCGUAAAGCGCACGCAGGCGGUCUGUCAAGUCGGAUGUGAAAUCCCCGGGCUCAACCUGGGAACUGCAUUCGAAACUGGCAGGCUAGAGUCUUGUAGAGGGGGGUAGAAUUCCAGGUGUAGCGGUGAAAUGCGUAGAGAUCUGGAGGAAUACCGGUGGCGAAGGCGGCCCCCUGGACAAAGACUGACGCUCAGGUGCGAAAGCGUGGGGAGCAAACAGGAUUAGAUACCCUGGUAGUCCACGCCGUAAACGAUGUCGAUUUGGAGGUUGUGCCCUUGAGGCGUGGCUUCCGGAGCUAACGCGUUAAAUCGACCGCCUGGGGAGUACGGCCGCAAGGUUAAAACUCAAAUGAAUUGACGGGGGCCCGCACAAGCGGUGGAGCAUGUGGUUUAAUUCGAUGCAACGCGAAGAACCUUACCUGGUCUUGACAUCCACAGAACUUUCCAGAGAUGGAUUGGUGCCUUCGGGAACUGUGAGACAGGUGCUGCAUGGCUGUCGUCAGCUCGUGUUGUGAAAUGUUGGGUUAAGUCCCGCAACGAGCGCAACCCUUAUCCUUUGUUGCCAGCGGUCCGGCCGGGAACUCAAAGGAGACUGCCAGUGAUAAACUGGAGGAAGGUGGGGAUGACGUCAAGUCAUCAUGGCCCUUACGACCAGGGCUACACACGUGCUACAAUGGCGCAUACAAAGAGAAGCGACCUCGCGAGAGCAAGCGGACCUCAUAAAGUGCGUCGUAGUCCGGAUUGGAGUCUGCAACUCGACUCCAUGAAGUCGGAAUCGCUAGUAAUCGUAGAUCAGAAUGCUACGGUGAAUACGUUCCCGGGCCUUGUACACACCGCCCGUCACACCAUGGGAGUGGGUUGCAAAAGAAGUAGGUAGCUUAACCUUCGGGAGGGCGCUUACCACUUUGUGAUUCAUGACUGGGGUGAAGUCGUAACAAGGUAACCGUAGGGGAACCUGCGGUUG